GCGCCCGUAGCUCAGGGGAUCAGAGCGGUCGGCUACGGACCGACAGGUCGGGGGUUCGAAUCCCUCCGGGCGCG
rnacentral:tRNA from 1 species